GUGGCAGAGUGAGAAGCCUGGUCUUUCCAGCCGCACUGCCCUCCCGGCCCACCCUUGUGUGGGCCUGGCCGCUGUGCACUCCCCUGCCUGUCCAGGCACCUGCCCCUCCCCCUGCCUGACCCUGCGUGUCUGUCCUGGGACCCCAUCCUCUCCCAUCCUCCCGAAUAGGAAGUCCCAAGUCAUCAGUCCGCCCAUGGGAAUCUGAAGAUGGAUGACCGCUGGGCUCUGCUGGGUUCCUCCUGCCCCAAGCCCCAAACUCCUCCUUCCCCCAUUCUGUGAGACGGGCAGCGCUCCCUCUGGACCCAGUGAACGAUUGCGCAUCCUGUGUCCAGGAGAAAUACCCCCAUUUACGGAAGCAGGACACGAUGGCAUCGUCCGUGUCGCUCCCUGGCUGUGACCUGCGGAUGACGCCUGAAGUGACUACCCUACUCGGCCCGGGACAGGGUUCCAGUACCCCUCUGCUGCCCCCAGAGGUCCCUCAUGUGGCCACGGCGAGGACAAGGACCGGGCCCAGCCACAGGGAAUCGCGAGCCUCCGUUCCAAAGGCUGCUUUCCAUGUGCUUUUCCAAAUGAGCCAGGCUCCAGGCCACUGACGGUUCCCUGUCCUGCUGAGGCCACGGCACCUCCCAGGAGCUGCCCAACAUCCCAACCUGCACAGGGAGGGUCACGCCAGAUAUUCCUCCCUAAGGACAUCCCCAGGGAUACAUGGAUGACACCUCCAGCUCCUGGCGGCUGGUGUCACGUGUGUGUGUCGCACGGACUCAGAGACGGAAGAAUGCCAACCAGGCUUGGCAUGGAGCGUGGACCACCACGCAGGAAGAGAACAAAGAGCAUUUUCCUGACCAAUACUUACACACUGGCAGCUUGGGGAUCAAGUGAUGAAGCCCCAUGUGCAGCAGUAACGGCAAUCUGAGCCACUCUGAUUACGGUGACCAUCAUGCACUGGCAUCUCCAAGAUUCAUCUGUUUUCCGAGUAGGCCAAAUGAGUGACUUCAACAAGGGUAUGUGGAGAUCACCACCCCGACAUCUUCCAAGUCCUUGGUGGCGACACCGGUUUCUGUACUCUCUCCUGGAAGGCGUUACUGCUUUCAGUGUGUACUUUAGAUGGAAUCCUAGAGGCUUGUGCUCGAGCUACCAUACAGCACGAAUUCCUUGCCGGCACAGUCCCCUGUGGCUAGCGAGGAGGAAGGCAGGAGCUCUGCGUUCCUCCAGGGCAGCUCGGCCUUGGGCCCUGACACCGAGGGAGCGGCAGUGCGGGCACUUGGUCGGGGGACCGCUCCUGGUACCGAAACCCAGUCCUUGUCCCUGAGGUCAAAUCACAAAAGACAGUGACAAGGUUUUGAGGAAAGGAAAGAAUAGUUUAUUGAUUUGCUAGCAAACGAGGGAGCGGCAGGCUCCUGCCUUGCAGAACCACCGUCCUCCGGACACACAAGCGGUCAGGGCUUUUCGAGGGGAAAUCGUGGGAGAGGGGCUGGGGUGCAGACACAUGAAGCAGCAGCUUGCAAGGGUCCAAGCAGACAUUCCUGCGCCGAUUCACUAGCUUUGUGUUUUUCUUUUCUGCUCCUCCUCAGUCCCCUGGGACAGGAUGCUUUUUUGAGUCCCCUGUUUAGUGAACUUUACUGGCCUUAAUUGUCUCUCAUCCCGCUCAUAUCUAUUUUUCUGCCUAACACUCCCAAGACUGACCAGCCUCUCGGUAAACAUCCCAUAGACAUGCAAACAGGCACUUCAGGUCUACAAUGGGUGACACCCAGGCAAGGAUCCUGGCUGUAAUUUCCAUUUUCUCCACACCAUCCUGGUCCUUUUAACAAAAAGAGAGAGGUCCUGGUUCAGCCCUGAGUAAACAUAGCUACUUGACUGGUGGUGGGAGGAAGAAUUUCUUCAGUUCCUCGAGGUUCCCUUAGCUGGUCUAAGAAACAAAUUGACAUGAGACAGAUUAACAGGAGAAAAAGUAACAAAAUUUAAUUAAGUACAUAAAGGGAAGCCAUAGACGCGUGUUCCACAGACAGGGUGUGGAAUUGCAAUAUUUCCAGAAUCUCUUGACCUGGCUUUAGUGCUUCUCCGUAUCAACAGGUGUUUCCAAGGGGUGGAGAGAAGUAGUCCGUCUCCACGUCAGUGGGUAAUUACGUGGGCGAGGGAGGGUUUAUCUGGACCAGAGAGCUUGGUGGGAGUAUUGGCUCUCUUCUACUGCAGCAGGAGAGAGAGAUGCAGGGCGACUGCUGGUAGGCAAUAAAUGACCUUUAAACAUUA